UACGUAGGGUGCAAGCGUUAAUCGGAAUUACUGGGCGUAAAGCGUGCGCAGGCGGUCCGUUAAGACAGAUGUGAAAUCCCCGGGCUUAACCUGGGAACUGCAUUUGUGACUGGCGGACUCGAGUAUGGCAGAGGGGGGGGUAGAAUUCCACGUGUAGCAGUGAAAUGCGUAGAGAUGUGGAGGAAUACCGAUGGCGAAGGCAGCCCCCCUGGGCUAACACUGACGCUCAGGCAC
rnacentral:rRNA from 1 species